rfam:Pseudoalteromonas atlantica T6c, complete genome.
UGUCUCCUGGAAUGUUUGCCAGUUCAGUAAUGUCCCUGGCCGAUGCUUUUUACCUAGGAAGUUGAUUCCAUCGCUAUUGCGCAAGCUCGGCUCGUAUCGAGACGCCUACGGCAAUGAUGAUACUUCCGCCCUGAACUUUCGGUUCACGGGCGAACACCGAACAGCGGCAUUUUGGGAGACAC